rnacentral:rRNA from 1 species
GCGGUCCGUUAAUACCAUGCAAGUCGAACGGGAAUCUUCGGAUUCUAGUGGCGGACGGGUGAGUAACGCGUAAGAAUCUAACUUCAGGACGGGGACAACAGUUGGAAACGACUGCUAAUACCCGAUGUGCCGAAAGGUGAAAACUAAUUGGCCUGAAGAAGAGCUUGCGUCUGAUUAGCUAGUUGGUGGGGUAAGAGCCUACCAAGGCGACGAUCAGUAGCUGGUCUGAGAGGAUGAGCAGCCACACUGGGACUGAGACACGGCCCAGACUCCUACGGGAGGCAGCAGUGGGGAAUUUUCCGCAAUGGGCGAAAGCCUGACGGAGCAACGCCGCGUGAGGGAGGAAGGUCUUUGGAUUGUAAACCUCUUUUCUCAAGGAAGAAGUUCUGACGGUACUUGAGGAAUCAGCCUCGGCUAACUCCGUGCCAGCAGCCGCGGUAAUACGGGGGAGGCAAGCGUUAUCCGGAAUUAUUGGGCGUAAAGCGUCCGCAGGUGGUCAGCCAAGUCUGCCGUCAAAUCAGGUUGCUUAACGACCUAAAGGCGGUGGAAACUGGCAGACUAGAGAGCAGUAGGGGUAGCAGGAAUUCCCAGUGUAGCGGUGAAAUGCGUAGAGAUUGGGAAGAACAUCGGUGGCGAAAGCGUGCUACUGGGCUGUAUCUGACACUCAAGGACGAAAGCUAGGGGAGCGAAAGGGAUUAGAUACCCCUGUAGUCCUGGCCGUAAACGAUGGAUACUAGGCGUGGCUUGUAUCGACCCGAGCCGUGCCGAAGCUAACGCGUUAAGUAUCCCGCCUGGGGAGUACGCACGCAAGUGUGAAACUCAAAGGAAUUGACGGGGGCCCGCACAAGCGGUGGAGUAUGUGGUUUAAUUCGAUGCAACGCGAAGAACCUUACCAAGACUUGACAUGUCGCGAACCCUGGUGAAAGCUGGGGGUGCCUUCGGGAGCGCGAACACAGGUGGUGCAUGGCUGUCGCCAGCUCGUGUCGUGAGAUGUUGGGUUAAGUCCCGCAACGAGCGCACCCCUCGUUCUUAGUUGCCAGCAUUAAGUUGGGGACUCUAAGGAGACUGCCGGUGACAAACCGGAGGAAGGUGGGGAUGACGUCAAGUCAGCAUGCCCCUUACGUCUUGGGCGACACACGUACUACAAUGGUCGGGACAAAGGGCAGCGAACUCGCGAGAGCCAGCGAAUCCCACCAAACCCGGCCUCAGUUCAGAUUGCAGGCUGCAACUCGCCUGCAUGAAGGAGGAAUCGCUAGUAAUCCCCGGUAAGCAUACGGCGGUGAAUUCGUUCCCGGGCCUUGUACACACCGCCCGUCACACCAUGGAAGCUGGUCACGCCCGAAAUCAUUACCUCAACCGCAAGGAGGGGGAUGCCUAAAGCGGGGCUAGUGACUGGGGUGAAGUCGUAACAAGGUAGCCGUACCGGAAGGUUGUCUGUAUCCAA